rnacentral:rRNA from 1 species
GAUGAACGCUGGCGGCGUGCCUAAUACAUGCAAGUCGAGCGAACGGACGAGAAGCUUGCUUCUCUAAUGUUAGCGGCGGACGGGGGAGUAACACGUGGAUAACCUACCUAUAAGACUGGGAUAACUUCGGGAAACCGUAGCUAAUACCGGAUAAUAUUUUGAACCGCAUGGUUCAAAAGUGAAAGACGGUCUUGCUGUCACUUAUAGAUGGAUCCGCGCUGCAUUAGCUAGUUGGUAAGGUAACGGCUUACCAAGGCAACGAUGCAUAGCCGACCUGAGAGGGUGAUCGGCCACACUGGAACUGAGACACGGUCCAGACUCCUACGGGAGGCAGCAGUAGGGAAUCUUCCGCAAUGGGCGAAAGCCUGACGGAGCAACGCCGCGUGAGUGAUGAAGGUCUUCGGAUCGUAAAACUCUGUUAUUAGGGAAGAACAUAUGUGUAAGUAACUGUGCACAUCUUGACGGUACCUAAUCAGAAAGCCACGGCUAACUACGUG